GAACUUCCGAUCUCAGCCAGGGGUCCCACAGAGAGAGAAGAAGAGGAAGGCCAUGAGGAAAGGAGAGACCAGAGGAGGCUGAGGCAGAAGAGGAAUUGUGAUGAGCAGGCUGCUGGGGGAUUCAGCAUAAGGACACCCUUGGAACAGAGCAAGCCAGGUGUUGAAGCCUGGGCUCUCCCUCAAACUUGCUGUGUAGCCAGUAUACUAGUCUGCUGCCCCUUUGCUGUGAUAAGACAUGACCAAGAGUAACGUGGAGAAGAAAGGAUUUUUUUUUUCCAUCCCUUGCUUUCAAAUGACAGCCCAAUAUGCAAGGAAGCUAAUGCAGGCACCUGGGAGCCAGAACAGAAGCUGAGCCCAUGGUUGAAUACUGUUCCCUGGUUUACUCUCAAGCUCAUGUUCAGAUCCCUUUCUUCUACAGUCCGGGUCUACCUGCCCAAGGAUGGAACUGCUCAUGAUGGGCUGGUCUCUCCUGUAUCAACUAGAGGUCAAGAAAAUGCACAAGUCCACAGAACUGUCCAAUGGAAGCAGUUUUUCAGUUGAGGUUCCUUCUUCUAGAAGUGUCAUGUUACAGACAAAACUAACCAGAACAGCC
rnacentral:lncRNA from 1 species